UACGUAGGGGGCAAGCGUUGUCCGGAUUUAUUGGGCGUAAAGAGCGUGUAGGCGGCCAGGUAGGUGGGUUGUGAAAACUGGAGGCUCAACCUUCAGACGUCGACCCAAACCCCCUGGCUAGAGUCCGGAAGAGGAGAGUGGAAUUCCUGGUGUAGCGGUGAAAUGCGCAGAUAUCAGGAGGAACACCGGUGGCGAAGGCGGGUCUCUGGGCCGUAACUGACGCUGGAGGAGCGAAAGCGUGGGGGAGCGAACAGG
rnacentral:rRNA from 1 species